rnacentral:rRNA from 1 species
UACGAAGGGGGCUAGCGUUGCUCGGAAUUACUGGGCGUAAAGCGCACGUAGGCGGAUUGUUAAGUCGGGGGUGAAAUCCUGGAGCUCAACUCCAGAACUGCCUUCGAUACUGGCGAUCUCGAGUUCGGGAGAGGUGAGUGGAACUGCGAGUGUAGAGGUGAAAUUCGUAGAUAUUCGCAGGAACACCAGUGGCGAAGGCGGCUCACUGGCCCGAUACUGACGCUGAGGUGCGAAAGCGUGGGGAGCAAACAGG